CAGUAACGGCGAGUGAAGCGGCAACAGCUCAAAUUUGAAAUCUGGCUCCUUUCGGGGUCCGAAUUGUAAUUUGUAGAGAGUGCUUCGGGCGAGACCUCGGUCUAAGUCCAUUGGAACAUGGUGUCAUAGAGGGUGAGAAUCCCGUAUGCGACCGUGGCUCGAGCCCAUGUGAAGCCUCUUCGACGAGUCGAGUUGUUUGGGAAUGCAGCUCAAAACGGGUGGUAAAUUUCAUCUAAAGCUAAAUACUGGCUGGAGACCGAUAGCGCACAAGUAGAGUGAUCGAAAGAUGAAAAGCACUUUGGAAAGAGAGUCAAACAGUACGUGAAAUUGUUGAAAGGGAAGCGCUUGCAACCAGACCUGCCCGUAGGCGAUCAGCCGCUGUUCUCAGCGGUGCACUCGCUCUGCGAUCAGGCCAGCAUCGGUUUCGGCGGUCGGAUAAAGGCCUUGGGAAUGUAGCUUCCCUUCGGGGGAGUCUUAUAGCCCUCGGUGCAAUGCGGCCAGCCGGGACCGAGGACCGCGCUUCGGCUAGGAUGCUGGCGUAAUGGUUGUAAGCGACCCGUCUUGAAACACGGACCAAGGAGUCUAACAUCUAUGCGAGUGUUUGGGUGUCAAACCCAUACGCGGAAUGAAAGUGAACGGAGGUGAGAACCCUUAAGGGCGCAUCAUCGACCGAUCCAGAUGUCUUCGGAUGGAUUUGAGUAUGAGCAUAGCUGUUGGGACCCGAAAGAUGGUGAACUAUGCCUGAAUAGGGUGAAGCCAGAGGAAACUCUGGUGGAGGCUCGCAGCGGUUCUGACGUGCAAAUCGAUCGUCAAAUUUGGGUAUAGGGGCGAAAGACUAAUC
rnacentral:rRNA from 3 species